GACGAACGCUGGCGGCGUGCCUAAUACAUGCAAGUAGAACGCAGUUGCGAACGGGUGAGUAAGGCGUAGGUAACUGCCUCAUAGCGGGGGAUAACUAUUGGAAACGAUAGCUAACACCGCAUACUGUGAGAUGGACCUGCGUUGUAUAGGCUAGUUGGUGAGGUAAAGGGUCACCAAGGCGACGAUACAUCGCCGACCUGAGAGGGUGUUCGGCGAAACAGGGGCUAAGCCAAGACCCAGACUCCUACAGUAGGCAGCAGUAAGGGAUCUGCGGCAAUGGACCGAAGUCUGACCAGACAACGCCUCGUGAGUGAAGAAGGUUUGCGGGACGGAAAUCUCUGUUGUUAGAGAAGCGGUAACUAACCAGAAGGGGACGGCUAACUACGUGCCAGCAGCCGCGGUAAUAG
rnacentral:rRNA from 1 species